UACGUAGGGUGCAAGCGUUAAUCGGAAUUACUGGGCGUAAAGCGUGCGCAGGCGGUUGUGCAAGACAGGUGUGAAAUCCCCGGGCUUAACCUGGGAACUGCACUUGUGACUGCACGGCUGGAGUACGGCAGAGGGGGAUGGAAUUCCGCGUGUAGCAGUGAAAUGCGUAGAUAUGCGGAGGAACACCGAUGGCGAAGGCAGUCCCCUGGGCCUGUACUGACGCUCAUGCACGAAAGCGUGGGGAGCAAACGGG
rnacentral:rRNA from 1 species